UUCACUUCCAGAAUUCUUAUUCGAAGUGCAGAUAAGGAAGGCUUAAACGUUUCUACGACACUACAUUUCGGCUGACUCGAUUUACGGAUUUGACGAAUACGCGGUGUCGGUAUGCUGCUAUCUCAAGCGCCGAUGGGCACUAAAUUUGGUAUCUAAUUGCCGUCUAUGGUCCAGGCAGCCUGUAAAUUGUAUAGCUCCGACGCUAAAACUGUGUGCUUCGAAUUCUCCAACUCCAUCUUCAACGUUACCAAUCUCUCAGAAUUGCGUUAACCUGUAGUACAAAACCACUUAAAAAGGUGACGGUAAGGGCUACCUAACGAUCCCUGAAGAUAUAGAAGCUACUGAACAGUAAGCCCUUUAGGGUGACUGCGACAUAUUGCGAUACUGACGCAUAAAGAGAGUUUUCCAGGAAAAUUCUCUCUAUCAAGAAUACGUUCAUGCAAAAAAAACGGACCCACUGUAUAUAAUUAUGGAUGUAUUCGCAUAGUAAGAUUAGUUGGUUAGCAGAUGUCACAAUCGUAGAUGUCAGCAGAAACGAGCUGCCAAUAUAUGCCGCAGGAUGAAUUACUACGACAAGGCGGCGGCGCAUCGUGAACGAGUACGAGCCAUUAUUGAGCUCAGUGCGUUUCAACGUUGUAUAUAUAUAUAUAUAUAUAGCAGUGAUAAUGGCAUUGGUAGAGGGCGCUCGGUCCACCGUGAGGCUUUUCUUACACGCCACUUCUCUUGCUUCUGAGCCGCGGAUGAAGCUUCAACAGCUUUCGCUAGUAAUAGCGGGAAGCCUGGCAACCUUGGUCUGUUGCUGCCUUCUUCAAAAGACUACUCGGAUGCCAUGCUAAUGACAGUAUAAUUGAAGACAAAAUAAAAAUAUUUAUUCUUUGU